UGAGCUGUAGCUCAGUGGUAGAGCACUUGCCUAGCAUGGCUAAGACCCUGGGUUUAAUACCCAGUGCCACAA
rnacentral:tRNA from 1 species